CACUUUCAUUUCUUUCUUCUACAUCUUUCCCCUCUUCACAAAUGUUACAAACAAAUUAAAUUAUCUUCUCCAAAUAUAUCUAAGCAAAUUGAAGAUUUUCACCAUGCUUGUGAUCAGUUGGUACAAGAGUAUCACACUUAGGUUUCGAAUAUGUUGAGCAUGUCACAUAGCGCAUUUGGUAAUAGUUGGUACAAGAUUCAGAUAAUGCCCAUAGUAACGCACAUUUGCAUUUACCAGUAAUAAACUCUAUCAACAUCAGCGUUGUUUUAUACCAGCUAGCUUGAGUCCGCGUCAGAGAAUAUACAUAUCCUGUCUACUCUACAGAUCAACAGGAAAGGAAAGUAAAACAGGGAAAUAGAUAUUAAUUAAUUUGGCUAAAUAAGUCAAAGUUGCUGCAAUUAUUUGUAAAUGUAGGACACCACAUAAUUUAAUAUCAUAGAAUAUAUGCACUAGCCUUUUUCUAGAAAUUUCCAUGUCUUACGAGUUUUGUAAGGUGAUACAGAGAUAUGCUUAUCAGCCCACACCCUGGCAAUUGAAAACAAAAUGGUAAGAGAGUGGAAGUAUUAAAAAAUAGCACUUUCUUUCCUUUAAGCCAUUACAUGGCAUGUGUUUUUGUGUGCUUCAUAUGGUGUGUUCCCAUAUACAGCAAGUAACAAACUACUUAUUGAAAAGAAAAUGUAGAAAUAUACAAAGUGAUACAGAGAUGGACUUUAAUAAAUAAGAUGACAACUUGUAGAUCCAGCUGGUAAGAACUAUUAAUAUUCUUUUUGCACUUUGAUUAUCAAUUAGAGCAAUUGAAUUGGUCCUUUAGACAGCUCUUUACUAACAACUACUUCUAAAGGUGUGUUACUAUAAAUGCAUAGGCCAAUGAAUCCCCAAACCUGCCAAGGGUCGUCGACAUUUGCCACAAAUCUUAGUGGCAUUGGCCAUAUUGGCUGUUGCUAAUGUAGUGUCAGCAGACCCUUAUGUGUACUCUUCUCCACCACCUCCAACGUAUGAGUACAAGUCACCACCACCUCCUUCGCCUUCUCCACCGCCACCUUAUGUGUACAAAUCUCCACCUCUUCCAUCACCUUCUGCCCCACCACCAUAUGUGUAUAAGUCUCCACCUCCUCCGUCACCAUCUCCACCACCACCCUAUGUGUAUAAGUCUCCGCCACCUCCAUCGCCAUCUCCACCACCACCAUAUGUGUAUAAGUCUCCCCCACCUCCAUCGCCAUCUCCACCACCACCAUAUGUUUAUAAGUCACCACUUCCUCCUUCUCCAUCACCACCUCCACCAUAUGUGUAUAAGUCUCCACCGCCUCCAUCGCCAUCUCCACCACCACCGUAUGUGUAUAAGUCUCCACCUCCUCCGUCACCGUCUCCACCACCACCCUAUGUAUAUAAGUCUCCCCCACCACCAUCACCAUCUCCACCUCCACCAUAUUACUACAAGUCCCUUCCUCCACCAUCACCUUCACCACCACCUCCAUAUUACUACAAGUCACCACCUCCAAUGGAUGUUCUAACCAAUUUUCGCACACCUCGACUAAUUCCACCGGAUACCAGUUAGCUUUCACUAGCAACAUGUAUCAAAUAAUUUUGUCCAUCGAGACUAGAACAAAUGGCAAGAAUCACCUAGUGCUUUUUGUCUCUAAUGAAAUUUGAACCUAAGAUCUCAUGAUUUUGAAUCCACCAAGGCUUCUACAUAAUUUAAUAGUACAAAAAAUUGAUAGACAAAAACGACAUACCUAGUGAGCUCCAACAAGUAAGGUCUGAAGAGGGUAAAGUAUACGCAAACCUUACCAGUAGCUUGAGGAGGUAGAGAGAUUGUUUUCGAAAGACCCUCGACUUAAGUGUAGCAAAUUAAUGUUUAAAAUUUCUAAGUGGGCAAUAAGUAAUUUCUUAAGCCAUCACCAGAGAUGAGAAAACAAAUUUUCGUGUAGCUUUGCAAAAAAAAGAAAAAAAAAAUUACUUUGGCUUGAUAAAGGUAAAGGAAAAAAAAAAACACAAAAUUAGUCACUAUAUAGAAAAUUAGCAUUGUUUAAUUUCCUUUUUGGUAAUCCAAUUAUGAAAACAAAUUGUGAAAUCUUCCUAGGGUUCGACACUGAGCAUGGAGAAAACUCUGUUGGGAGCGCUACCCUCCGAAUGGGGUCCUACCCGGCGCGAAUCCGGAUUAGUCGGGCUCCAAUGCGAGUACCGGACACUGGAUGAAAAACCAAAAAAAAAAAAAGUGAAAUCUUAGUGAUUUUUUCUAUCUAAUGAAUCAAAAUCUGCUUUAAAGUCAUCUAUCUUAUACGUAUCUCCGAGUAUAUGAGUGUGUUCUUACUACGAAAAAGAAAUAAUAAAAUAUAUGAUUCUCGAAACUCUCACUCAUUCUCUCCUUUCUUUUGUCUAAACAAUUUCAUUGACUAUAUGUGGAACAACUCGACAUAAAUUCGACAUAAUCGACACCUCAGAAUUUGAUCACCUCAACUCCAUUAUAUUUGAAUCCAAUAACAUUUCAAACCUAUAAACUUCAAAUUCCGAAUCUGUUUGUUUCCAAAGUCAACCACACUACUAACAUAGGCCUGCUAAGAAAAAUAGAAAUAACAAAGAAACAGACAAGAAGACCAAAUAAUUCUAUGAUCUCAAUGUUCAUAAGAUGCUUCCAUGUGGCAACAGAAUAACAAAAAAACUAUGUCAAUAGAGUAAGUGGAAAUAUUCAAAACCCAUCGUCAGGCCCCUUAAAUACGCGUCAUCUUUCAAUUAGGCACCUCAAGUGAACAUUGGUUCAUUUUGGCAUCUCAAGCGGCCUUCAAGUGUGUCACUUCAACACGUUUUGCUGAAUCAGCAAAAUAAUAUUAGUGCGUGAGCUACACUCUCCGCUGAGCUGGAAAGUGACGAAUAAAAUGCGGACACGUGUUAUUUUUGUCCAAAUAAUUUAUAAAUAAUAAAUUUUAAAUAAAAAAUACCCAAAUAAUUUAUAAAUAAUUAAUUUAAAUAAAAAAUACCCCCUCCCCCUAACCUACCCACCCCACCAACCUUCUUCUUCAAACACCCCAUCCACCCCACCAAAUUUUUUUCAUCGAUCUUGCUUCGAUUUUUAAUUUUUCUUCACUGAUUUUACUUGAUUUUUAGAUUUUCUUCAUGAAUUUAACUUCAUUUUUUUCAGAUUUGCUUCAUCUAUUUUGCUUCAAUUUUUAGUUUUUUUAAUUGAUUUUGUUUGAUUUUAAUUUUUCUUCACGGAUUUAGCUUUAUUUUUUAAUUUCUUUCAUCAAUUUUGCUCCGAUUUUCAAAUUUUCUUCACUGAUUUUUCUUGGUUUUUAUGCUUCAAUUUUGAUUUUUUUUUAUUGAUUUUGUUUGAUUUCAAUUUUUCUUCACUGAUUUGGCUUUAUUUUUCUAUUUUUCUUCAUCGAUUUUGUUUGAUUUUUAGUUUUUCUUCAUUGAUGUUGCUUAUUUUUUAUUUUUAUUCAUCAAUUUUGCCCUUAAUGAUAAAAAAAAAGGUGCUUAUCAUUUAAUCAUCACAAACCUUUAAAUGCGUAGAUAAAUUUCUCUCAAUAAUUCUUACCGUUAAAUAAAUUAAGAUUGACAAAAAUAACGGAUAAAAAUGCGAAAGAAUUAUAAAUUAAUGGGCAUUGAGUUAAUAUAUUGUUUUUGGCAAGACGAACUCCUAAAUAUGUAUCUAAUUUUUAAAUCUCUCUCAAUAAUUUCUACCAUUAAAUAAGCUUAAGAUUGACAAAAAAGAUGGAUAAAAAUAAGGAAAAAGGUAUAAAUUAAUUAAAAUGAGUUAAUAUAUUGUUGGUGGGCCAAUUUGGGCGCCACAACAGCCAAAAACAGGCUUUCAUGCGCCUUUUCGGAGUGUUCCGCACGAGUUUUGCCAACCAGGCAAAAGGUGCCAAAAUGGCACACUUUAAGGCCACUUGAAGUGCCAAAAUGAACCAAUGUCCACUUGAGGUGCCUAAAUGAAAGAUCGCGUGUACUUGAGAUGCCUGGCGAUGAGUUUUCCCUAAAAAUUAUCAAUCAAUGUCUAUGCACAUUCAUAUGUUGUAUCUCAUUUUCUAUGUAGUAGGUAACAAACUACUAGUUGUUAUAAAGAUAAAAGUUGGAAAACUGGAAAUAUUCAAAGUGAUACAAAGAUGGACUUUUAAUAAACAAGAUGUAAAACUUGUAGAUCCAGCUGUUAAGAGUAGUUUAAUAUACUUUUUACACAUUGAUUGUUAAUUAGAGCUAUUGAAUUGGUCAUUUAGACAGCUCUUUACUAACAACUAGUGUGUUAAUAUAAAUAGAUAGGCCAAUGAACCCUCUAAAGGCAUCAGUUCUCAACUGAAAAACUAAACUUGUCUUCUUUUUUCUUCCCUUAACUAGCCACAUUUGGGAGGCUAGGUGGUGUAUUUUCCGGCAAAAUGAGGCUUCACGGUGGCGGCCCUGCCAAGGGUCGUCGAUAUUUGCCACAAAUUUUAGUGGCGUUGGCCAUAUUGGCUGUUGCUAAUGUAGUGUCAGCAGACCCUUAUGUGUACUCUUCUCCACCACCUCCAACGUAUGAGUACAAGUCACCACCACCUCCUUCGCCAUCUCCACCGCCACCUUAUGUGUACAAAUCUCCACCUCCUCCAUCACCUUCUCCCCCACCACCAUAUGUGUAUAAGUCUCCACCUCCUCCGUCACCAUCUCCACCACCACCCUAUGUGUAUAAGUCUCCGCCACCUCCAUCGCCAUCUCCACCACCACCAUAUGUGUAUAAGUCUCCAUCACCUCCAUCGCCAUCUCCACCACCACCAUAUGUGUAUAAGUCUCCCCCACCUCCAUCGCCAUCUCCACCUCCACCAUAUUACUACAAGUCUCCUCCCCCACCAUCACCUUCACCACCACCUCCAUAUUACUACAAGUCGCCACCUCCAUCUUCACCAUCACCUCCACCACCAUACUAUUACAAAUCUCCACCACCGCCCUCACCAUCACCACCCCCGCCAUACAAUUAUAAGUUUCCACCACCACCUUCUCCUUCACCUCCUCCACCAUACUACUACUCCUCGCCGCCGCCGCCGCCACCAAAGAAAUCACCUCCCCCACCAUAUCACUAUACUUCUCCACCACCACCUGUUAAGUCACCACCUCCUCCAUACUACUACAGCUCUCCACCACCACCAGUGAAGUCUCCCCCUCCACCAUACUACUACUCCUCGCCGCCGCCGCCGCCACCAAAGAAAUCACCUCCCCCACCAUAUCACUAUACUUCUCCACCACCACCUGUUAAGUCACCACCUCCUCCAUACUACUACAGCUCUCCACCACCAACAUCGCCAUCCCCUCCACCUCCAUACUACUACAAGUCCCCUCCUCCACCAUCUCCAUCACCACCUCCACCCUACUACUACAAGUCUCCUCCUCCUCCUUCGCCUUAUCCCCCUCCCCCAUACUAUUACAAGUCACCACCACCUCCAUCGCCAUCUCCUCCACCACCCUACUACUACAAGUCACCACCGCCACCAUCCCCAUCACCACCUCCACCCUACUACUACAAGUCUCCUCCUCCUCCUUCGCCUUAUCCCCCUCCCCCAUACUAUUACAAGUCACCACCACCUCCAUCGCCAUCUCCUCCACCACCCUACUACUACAAGUCCCCUCCUCCACCAUCUCCAUCACCACCUCCACCCUACUACUACAAGUCGCCUCCUCCACCGUCACCUUCUCCACCACCUCCCUACUAUUACCACUCUCCACCUCCACCAGUAAAGUCUCAUCCUCCUCCUUAUUACUACAGCUCACCACCACCACCAGUGAAAUCACCUCCUCCACCCGUAUAUAUUUACGCUUCCCCACCACCUCCAGUCCACUACUAAGAGUUUCCAGCAGUUCAGCCAUUCUCCACGCUCAAUCAAGUGAGUAGUUGUUUAAAUUAGUAAAAAAAAUUUCAUAUGAGAUCAACUUUUUUUAGCACGGCUCUAAUCUUCUAUCUGAUUGUUUCUUUUUAGAUUUUAGUUGGAAACACAAAAUAAAUGAUGGCUUCUUGAGGAAAAGAUUCAAACGUCAAUGGAACAAAGCAAUUAAUUUAUGGAAUAAGACAUUCAAUUUUUCAAUUGAAGGAUUGAUUCUUAGUUACAUGGACCAGUUUGGUUCUACUUCUCUUUUAGCCUUCUUGCACAUUGUUCUCUUAGUGCGUUCACACAUGAACGUAUCUAAGCUUUGAUGCUUCUUAGAAUUCAUUUCUUCGUAAUUUAUUGUUUUAUAUUGAGGACACUGUCCUCAUUUUAUUCAUUCCUAUUAAUUAUUGUAUGUUGUUCUUUUGUAAUUCCUUCAUGUACUUUGUGCACAAAUCAAUAAAAAGAUCAAUUUCAGUACAUUCACUCUCUUUUCUUUCUUCUAUAUCUUUCCCCUCACAAAUGUUACAAACAACUUAAAUUAAUCUUCUCCAAAUAUAUCUAAGCAAAUUGGAGAUGAAAAUACCUACAAUUAUUUUAAAAUAUUUAAUAGUUUAAUGUAGAAGUAGUUCAUGACAUGACUAUAAGUAAAACACCUAAAAAAGCACCUCUGUGUUACCAAAAUGAACUGGGUACCUCUUACCAAAAUUAUAAAGAUGACAAUACAAAAAUGGAAGAAAAGCCAGUUUCCUUUUCUUUUUUUUUUGGUUGCAACAGAAAUUCUAACUGUUGCCUCCACAUGCAGUUGAUCUCAUCAUUGAGCAUUCACACGAAUUUCUAAGAUUAUUACAAUGAAGAGAUCAAAAAGGCUAUAAUAUGAUGCUUUGAAUAGUAAGCAAAAAUGAAUGAAAAUAUCAAAAUACUUUUGAAUAACUUAUUUCAUGAACUGACGCUUCUGAAAUAAAUAAUAAAACAUUUCCGAAUAACGAAAAUUUGUGAAACUUAUUUUUAAAUUACAUAAAUACACUCGGUAUGUUGUUUACACUGGCCUCCCCAUACCACUUAUCGGAUUACACCGGGUAUGUUGUUCUUGCAGUUGUAAAUGCGGAUUUGGUGAAACAAUUCAAUGUCAAAAAAAAAAGAAAAAAGAACAACAUUUCUAGUUGGCAACAAAUAAUUUGAAGCAAUCAAUAUACAUAUUUGUAAUUUAUAAACCAUGUAUCCAUCAGACCAUCACAGUAAAAAAGGUUAUUUUAAGUUAUCAAGGUUCUUGCGACCAACUAGUGAUCCAAAAAGAAAAUAAAUCACCUAUUCACUAACAAAUUGAAGAUUUUCACCAUGCUUGUGAUCAGUUGGUACAAGAGUAUCAUACUUAGGUUUCGAAUAUGUUGAGCAUGUCACAUGGCGCAUUUGGUAAAAGUUGGUAAAAGAUUCAGACAAUGCCACAGUAACGCACCUUAGCAUUUACCAGUAAUAAACUCUAUCAACAUCAGCGUUGUUUUAUACCAGCUAGCUUGAGUCCGCGUCAGAGAAUACACAUAUCCUGUCUCCUCUACAACAGGAAAGUAAAACAGGGGAAGAGAUAUUAAUUAAUUUGGCUAAAUAAGUCAAAGUUGCUGCAAUUAUUUGUAAAUGUAGGACACCACAUAAUUUAAUAUCAUAGAAUAUAUGCACUAGCCUUUUUCUAGAAAUUUCCAUGUCUUACAAGUUUUGUAAGGUGAUACAGAGAUAUGCUUAUCAGCCCACACCCUGGCAAUUGAAAACAAAAUGGCAAGAGAGUGGAAGUAUUAAAAAAUAGCACUUUCUUUCCUUUAAGCCAUUACAUGGCAUGUGUUUUUGUGCGCUUCAUACGUUGUGUUCCCAUAUACAGCAAGAAACAGACUACUAGUUGUUAUAAAGAUAAAGUUGGAAAACUGGAAAUAUUCAAAGUGAUACAAAGGGAGACUUUUAAUAAAUAAGCUGUAAAACUUGUAGAUCCAGCUGUUAAGAGUUGUUUAAUUUACACUUUGAUUGUUAAUUAGAGCAAUUGAAUUGGUCAUUUAGACAGCUCUUUACUAACAACUAGUUUUCAAGGUGUGUUACUAUAAAUACAUAGGCCAAUGAAUCCUCUAAAGGCAUCACUUCUCAACUGAAAAAACUAAACUUGUCUUCUUUCUUCUUCCCUUGACUAGCCACAUUUGGGAGGCUAGGUGGCGUAUUUUCCGGAAAAAUGAGGCUUCACGGUGGCGGCCCUGCCAAGGGUCAUCGACAUUUGCCACAAAUCUUAGUGGCAUUGGCCAUAUUGGCUGUUGCUAAUGUAGUGUCAGCAGACCCUUAUGUGUACUCUUCUCCACCACCUCCAACGUAUAAGUCACCACCACCUCCUUCGCCUUCUCCACCGCCACCUUAUGUGCACAAAUCUCCACCUCCUCCAUCACCUUCUCCCCCGCCUCCAUAUGUUUAUAAGUCACCACCUCCUCCUUCUCCAUCUCCACCACCACCUUAUGUGUAUAAGUCUCCCCCACCACCAUCACCAUCUCCACCUCCACCAUAUUACUACAAGUCCCCUCCUCCACCAUCACCUUCACCACCACCACCAUAUUACUACAAGUCGCCACCUUCACCAUCAUCUCCACCACCAUACUAUUACAAAUCUCCACCCCCGCCCUCACCAUCACCACCCCCGCCAUACAAUUAUAAGUCUCCGCCACCACCUUCUCUUUCACCUCCUCCACUAUACUACUACAAAUCUCCACCACCUCCUUCACCAUCUCCUCCUCCACCUUAUUACUACAAGUCUCCACCUCCUCCAUCUCCAUCACCACCUCCACCUUACUACUACAAGUCUCCACCACCACCGGUUAAGUCACCUCCUCCCCCAUACUAUAACAGCUCUCCACCACCACCAGUGAAGUCUCCCCCUCCACCAUACUACUACUCCUCGCCACCACCACCAAAGAAAUCACCUCCCCCACCAUAUCACUAUACUUCUCCACCACCACCUGUUAAGUCACCGCCUCCUCCAUACUAUUACAGCUCCCCACCACCACCAAAGAAAUCACCUCCUCCGCCAUAUUACUACAGUUCCCCACCAUCACCAGUGAAGUCACCUCCAACUCCAUACUACUACAAGUCUCCACCACCACCACCAAAGAAAUCUACUCCCCCACCAUACUACUACACUUCACCACCACCACCAACUCAUUACUAUCCUCCACAUCAUCAAUUCGUGGUCAAAGUUGUCGGAAAAGUCUAUUGUUUUAGAUGCUACGACUGGAAGCACCUAGAAAUGUCUCAUGGCAAGAAACACCUGAAAGGUAUCACAAUAUAAUUUAUACAACACUCGCAUUCUUUAUUUUCCUUUAAAAUAUCAUCAAAAAUAUAUUUAACUAUAUAUUAUCUUUUUUGUUGCUUUGCUCCUUACGCUCUUAAAAGAAUUCAUAAAUGUGUAUCUUUAUUUGGAUCUUUGAUCCAUUUAUGUUUUUCCAAAUCUGAAGUAACAUUAAAAUUUAAAAAGUCAAGAAAUUUUUUAAGGCAAGGACCAUAUCUAUAAUUGUGACUAUAGAGUAAAACAUAUUGAAAAAGAAGGUAUUCUGUUCUUGCUUGCAAAUGAAGAAUUAAUAUCGAGUGUAAUUCAUUCUCACAUUGGCAGACAAAAGUCUGUACACAUUGGCACACAAGUUGCCAUUAACAUGCAGUUUAUUUCCCUUAUUAGAUUACAAAAUAUUUUUUAUAGUGUGAUGAGAAGGUUUGUUUUAUUUCAUAUUAUGAGGUGAAAAGUGCUCGGAUCUAAAUGAUCAUCAUUAGUAUUGGAGUUAAUUAAUGUUUUCUUUUAUGGAUUAGGUGCGGUUGUUGAAGUGACUUGCAAGGCUGGUGACAAGAAAAUUGUGAGUUAUGGUACCACUAAGAUCAAUGGAAAAUUUAGCGUCACAGUAGAAGGAUUUGAAUAUCGCAAAUAUGGAGCAAAGGCUUGCAAGGCUAAACUCCACAAUGCUCCAAAGGACUCAAAGUGCAACAUUCCUACAAACCUUCAUUGGGGAAUAAAGGGUGCUAACCUCAAAGUGAAAUCAAAGAAUAGUUAUGAAGUUGUACUUUAUGCAAAACCAUUUGCUUAUGGAUCUAAAACACCUUAUGCAGAAUGCCAAAAGCCCAAGCCUACACCUGCUCCAUACUAUUAUAAAUCUCCUCCACCUCCAUCACCGACUUAUGUGUACAAGUCACCACCUCCUCCAUCACCAAAGUAUGUGUAUAAUUCACCACCUCCCCCAACCCCGACAUAUGUUUAUAAGUCUCCACCACCACCUGCCUACUAUUACAAAUCACCACCACCACCAACUAAGUCUCCACCUCCACCAUCACCAAAACCUGCACCAGUAUACUAUUAUAAAUCACCACCACCCCCAUCACCGUCACCACCCCCACCUUACUACUACAAGUCCCCGCCACCACCAUCACCGAAACCUGCACCUGUUUACUAUUUUAAAUCACCACCACCCCCAUCACCGUCACCACCCCCACCUUACUACUACAAGUCCCCGCCACCACCAUCACCGAAACCUGCACCUGUUUACUAUUUUAAAUCACCACCACCCCCAUCACCGUCACCACCCCCACCUUACUACUACAGGUCCCCACCACCACUAUCACCAUCUCCUCCACCUCCAUACUACUACAAGUCCCCUCCUCCUCCAUCGCCAUCUCCCCCUCCACCAUACUAUUACAAGUCACCACCGCCACCAUCCCCAUCACCUCCACCACCCUACUAUUACAAGUCUCCUUCUCCUCCAUCGCCUUCUCCCCUUCCCCCAUACUACUACAAGUCCCCUCCUCCACCAUCCCCAUCACCACCUCCACCCUACUACUACAAGUCUCCUCCUCCUCCAUCGCCUUCUCCCCUUCCCCCAUACUACUACAAGUCCCCUCCUCCACCAUCCCCAUCACCACCUCCACCCUACUACUAUAAGUCGCCUCCUCCACCAUCACCUUCUCCACCACCUCCCUACUACUACCACUCUCCACCUCCACCAGUAAAGUCUCCUCCUCCUCCUUAUUACUACAGCUCACCACCACCACCAGUGAAAUCACCUCCUCCACCCGUAUAUAUUUAUGCUUCCCCACCUCCUCCAGUCCACUACUAAGAGUUUCCAGCAGUUCAGCCAUUCUCCGCGCUCAAUCAAGUGAGUAGUUGUUUAAAUUAGUAAAAAAAAUUUCAUAUGAGAUCAACUUUUUUUCAUUACAGCUCUAAUCUUCUAUUUGAUUGUUUCUUUUCAGAUUUUAGUUGGAAACACAAAUUAAAUGAUGGCUUCUUGAGGAAAAGAUUCAAACAUCAAUGGAACAAAGCAAUUAACUUAUGGAAUAAGACAUUCAAUUUUUCAAUUGAAGGAUUGAUUUUUAGUUACAUGGACCAGUUUGGUUCUACUUCUCUUUUAGCCUUCUUGCACAUUGUUCUCUUAGUGCGUUCACACAUGAACGUAUCUAAGCUUUGAUGCUUUUUAGAGUUCAUUUCUUCGUAAUUUAUUGUUUUAUAUUGAGGACCACUGUCCUCAUUUUAUUCAUUCCUAUUAAUUAUUGUAUGUUGUUCUUUUGUAAUACCUUCAUGUACUUUGUGCACAAAUCAAUAAAAAGAUCAAUUUCAUUACAUUCACUUUCUUUUCUUUCUUCUGCAUCUUUCCCCUCUUCACAAAUGUUACAAACAAAUUAAAUUAAUCUUCUCCAAAUAUAUCUAAGCAAAUUGGAGAUGAAAAUACCUACAAUUAUUUUAAGAUAUUUAAUAGUUUAAUGUAGAAGUAGUUCAUGACAUAACUAUAAGUAAAACACCUAAAAAACACCUCUGUGUUACCACAAUGAACUAGUUACUUCUUACCAAAAUGGAAGAAAAGCCAUUUUCCUUUUUCUUGUUUUAGUGUGGCAACAGAAAUUUUAACUGUUGCCUCCACAUGCAGUUGAUCUCAUCAUUGAGCAUUCACACGAAUUUCUAAAGAUUAUUAUAAUGAAGAGAUUAAGAAGGCUAUAAUAUGAUGCUUUGAAUAGUAACCAAAAAUGAAUGAAAAUAUCAAAAUACUUUUGAAUAACUUAUUUCAUGAACUGAUGCUUCUGAAAUAAAUAAUAAAACAUUUCAGAAUAAAGAAAAUUUGUCAAACUUAUUUUUCAAUAACAUAAAUACUCUUGGUAUGUUGUUUACACUGGCCUCCCAUACCACUUGUCAGAUUACACUUAGUAUGUUGUUCUUGUUGUUGUAAACUCGGAUUUGGUGAAACAAUUCAAUGUCAAAAAAAAAAAAACAUCAUUUCAGUUGGCAACAUAUAAUUUAAAGCAAUCAAUAUACAUAUUUGUAAUUUAUAAACCAUGUGUCCAUCAGACCAUCUCAGUAAAAAAGGUUUUUUUAAGUUAUCAAGGUUAUUGCGACCAACUAGUGAUCCAAAAGAAAAUAAAUCAUCUAUUCGCUAACAAAUUGAAGAUUUUCACCAUGCUUGAGAUCAGUUGGUACAAGAGUAUCACACUUAGGUUUCGAAUAUGUUGAGCAUUUCACAUAGCGCAUUUGGUAAUAGUUGGUACAAGAUUCAGGCAAUGCCACACCUUAGCAUUUACCAGUAAUAAACUCUAUCAAUGCCAGCGUUGUUUUAUACCAGCUAGCUUGAGUCCGCGUCAGAGAAUAUACAUAUCCUGUCUCCUCUACAGAUCAGCAGGAAAGUAAAACAGGGGAAAAGAUAUUAAUUAAUUUGGCUAAAUAAGUCAAAGUUGCUGCAAUUAUUUGUAAAUGCAGGACACCACAUGAUUUAAUAUCAUAGAAUAUAUGCACUAGCUUUUUUCUAGAAAUUUUCAAACUUAUAAGUUUUUAAAGGUGAUAUAGAGAUAUGCUUAUCAGCCCACACCCUGGCAAUUGAAAACAAAAUGGCAAGAGAGUGGAAGUAUUAAAGAAUAGCACUUUCUUUCCUUUAAGCCAUUACAUGGCAUGUGUUUUUGUGUGCUUCAUAUGGUGUGUUCCCAUAUACAGCAAGUAACAAACUACUUAUUGAAAAGAAAAUGUAGAAAUAUACAAAGUGAUACAGAGAUGGACUUUAAUAAAUAAGAUGACAACUUGUAGAUCCAGCUGGUAAGAACUAUUAAUAUUCUUUUUGCACUUUGAUUAUCAAUUAGAGCAAUUGAAUUGGUCCUUUAGACAGCUCUUUACUAACAACUACUUCUAAAGGUGUGUUACUAUAAAUGCAUAGGCCAAUGAAUCCCCAAAGUGCAUCAGUUCUCAACAGUAAAAACUAAAAGUUGUCUCUUUUACUCUUCAGUUAACUAGCCACAUUUGGAGGCUAGGUGGUAUAAUUAUCCGGCGAAAUGAGAAUUCAAGGUGGCGGCCCUGCCAAGGGUCGUCAAUAUUUGUCACAAAUUUUAGUGGCAUUGGCCAUUUUGGCUGUUGCUAAUAUAGUAUCGGCAGAUCCUUAUGUAUACUCUUCGCCUCCACCUCCACCGUAUGUGUACAAGUCACCACCACCUCCUUCUCCUUCUCCACCACCACCUUAUGUGUACAAAUCUCCACCUCCUCCAUCACCUUCUCCCCCGCCUCCAUAUGUUUAUAAGUCACCUCCUCCUCCUUCUCCACCUCCACCUCCACCAUAUGUGUAUAAGUCUCCACCGCCUCCAUCGCCAUCUCCACCUCCACCAUAUUACUACAAGUCCCCUCCUCCACCAUCACCUUCACCACCACCACCAUAUUACUACAAGUCUCCACCUCCACCUUCACCAUCACCUCCACCACCAUAUUAUUACAAAUCUCCACCACCGCCCUCACCAUCACCACCACCACCAUACUAUUAUAAGUCUCCACCGACACCUUCUCCUUCACCUCCUCCACCAUACUCCUAUAAAUCUCCACCACCUCCUUCACCAUCUCCUCCGCCACCUUAUUACUACAAGUCUCCACCUCCUCCAUCUCCAUCACCACCACCACCAUAUUAUUACAAGUCUCCUCCUCCACCAUCCCCAUCACUACCCCCACCUUACUUCUACAAGUCUCCACCUCCACCGGCUAAGUCACCUCCUCCCCCAUACUACUACAGUUCUCCACCACCAGCAGUGAAGUCUCCCCCUCCACCAUAUUACUACUACUCACCACCACCACCAAAGAAAUCACCUCCCCCACCAUAUCACUAUACUUCUCCACCACCACCUGUUAAGUCACCGCCUCCUCCAUACUAUUACAGCUCCCCACCACCACCAAAGAAAUCACCUCCUACACCAUAUCACUACAGUUCCCCACCACCACCAGUGAAGUCCCCUCCAACUCCAUACUACUACAAAUCUCCACCACCACCACAACCAAAGAAGUCUUCUCCCCCGCCAUACUACUAUACUUCACCACCACCACCAACUCAUUACUAUCCUCCACAUCAUCAAUUCGUGGUCAAAGUUGUCGGAAAAGUAUAUUGUUUUAGAUGUUAUAAUUGGAAGCACCCAGAGAUGUCUCACGGAAAGAAACACCUGAAAGGUACCAGUCUUAUAAUUUAUACUACACUCUAUUCUUUAAAAUAUAUCAUUAAAUAUUUAUUUAACUAUAUAUUUUCUUUUUGGUUUCUUUUCUCAUUAUGCUCUUAUCAGUAUUCAAAUGUGUAUUUUUCUUUGGAUCUUUGAUCCAUCUCUUUUUUCAAAAUAUGAAAUUAGAAUUAAAAUUUUAAAACGUCAAGAAAUGAUAUAAGGGAACUAUAGAUAAAAUACAUUGAAAAUGGAAGUACUUACUUCUUGCUUGGAAAUGAAGAACUGAUUUUGAGUGUGAUCUAUUCUCACAUUGGCCGACAUAAGUCUGUAUUGACACACAAGUUUCCUUAUUAGCAUACAAUAUAUCAUAAUAAAGCUAGAAAAUGAAUUUUUAUCAUGUGAUGAAAAGGUUUGUUUCAUUUUAUGUUCUAGGGGAAAAAAUUCAGAUACAAAUGAUCAUCUAUUAACAACCCAACUGUUUUAGUGUUAAUUAAUGGUUAUUGUUACAUGGAUUAGAUGCUGUUGUUGAAGUAACUUGCAAGGCUGGUGACAAGAAAAUUGUGAGUUAUGGUACCACAAAGAUCAAUGGCAAAUUUAGCAUCACGGUUGAAGGAUUUGAAUAUCGCAAAUAUGGAGCAAAGGCUUGCAAGGCUAAACUCCACAAUACUCCAAAGGAUUCAAAGUGUAGCAUUCCUACAAACCUUCAUUGGGGAACUAAGGGUGCUAACCUCAAAGUGAAAUCAAAGAAUAGUAAUGAAGUUGUACUUUAUGCAAAACCAUUUGCUUAUGGAUCUAAGGCACCUUAUGCAGAAUGCAAAAAGCCCAAGGCUACACCUGCUCCAUACUAUUAUAAAUCUCCUCCACCUCCAACACCGAAUUAUGUUUAUAAAUCACCACCUCCUCCAUCGCCGGCUUACGUUUAUAAAUCACCACCUCCUCCAUCGCCGACUUACGUCUAUAAAUCACCACCUCCUCCAUCACCGACUUACGUUUAUAAAUCACCACCUCCUCCAUCACCGAAGUAUGUGUACAAAUCAGCACCUCCCCCAACCCCGACAUAUGUUUAUAAGUCUCCACCACCACCUGCUUACUAUUACAAAUCUCCGCCACCACCAACUAAGUCUCCACCACCCCAUUAUUAUUACAAUUCUCCGCCUUCACCAUCACCAAAACCGGCUCCGGUAUACUAUUACAAAUCACCACCACCGCCAUCACCGUCACCACCCCCACCUUACUACUACAAGUCCCCGCCACCACCAUCACCAAAACCGGCUCCGGUAUACUAUUACAAAUCACCACCACCGCCAUCACCGUCACCACCCCCACCUUACUACUACAAGUCCCCACCACCACCAUCACCUUCUCCCCCACCUCCCUACUACUAUAAGUCUACUCCACCACCAUCGUCGUCUCCUCCUCCACCAUACUACUAUAAGUCCCCUCCUCCACCAUCUCCAUCGCCACCCCCACCCUAUUACUACAAAUCUCCUCCACCACCAUCACCAUCACCUCCACCUCCAUACUACUACAAGUCUCCUCCUCCUCCAUCACCAUCUCCCCCUCCACCAUACGAUUACAAGUCACCACCUCCACCGUCACCAUCACCUCCACCACCCUACUACUACAAGUCUCCUCCACCACCAUCCCCCUCACCACCUCCACCCUACUACUAAAAGUCGCCUCCUCCACCGUCACCUUCUCCACCACCUCCCUACUACUACAAGUCACCUCCUCCAUCGUCACCUUCUCCACCACCUCCCUACUACUACCACUCUCCACCUCCACCAGUACAGUCUCCUCCUCCUCCUUAUUACUACAGCUCACCACCUACACCAGUGAAAUCACCUCCUCCGCCCGUAUAUAUUUACGCUUCCCCACCACCUCCAGUCCACUACUAAGAGUUUCCAGGAGUUCAGGCAUUCUCGGCAAUCAAUCAAGUGAGUAAUUGUUUAAAAUGUAAUUUUUUUCAUAUGAGAUUAACUUUGUUUUGCUUCUUUUCUUUGAAUUAGAUCUCUAAUUUUCUAUUUGAUUGUUUGUUUCCAGAUUUUAGUUUGAAACACCAAAUAAAUGAUGGCUUCUUGGGGAAAAGAUUCAAACGUCGAUGGAGCAAAGCAAUUAAUUUAAGGAAUAAGAUAUUCAAUUUUUCAAUUGAAGGGUUGAUUCUUCGUGACAUGGACCAGUUUGCUUCUACUUCUCUUUUGGCCUUCUUGCACAUUGUUCUCUUAGUUCGUUAACAUAAACGUAUCUAAGCUUUGAUUCUUUGUAGAGUUCGUUUCUCCAUAAUUUAUUGUUUUGUAUUGAGGAUAUUGUCCUCUUUUUAUUCAUUCCUAUUAACCAUUGUACGUUGUUUUUUUGUAGUACCUCUGUGUACUUUGUGCACAAUCCAAUAAAAAGAUCAAUUUCGUUAUAUACACUUCUUCUCUUUUCUUCUUCAUCUUUCCCUCUUAAUCUGUUACAAACAAAUUAAAUUAGUCUUGUCGAACUAUAUAUAAACAAAUUGGAAAUGAAAAUACCUACAAUUAUUUUAUGAACUUUAAUAGUUUUAAUAUUGAAGUAGUUCAAGAAAUUUAAUUGUUGAUCAUUUGUCUAAAUUGUUAUAAUAACAAUACAAGCAGUAUUUUGUUUCUUUUAAAUCCCCUGCCUUCCUUUGUGUUCGACUAUUAUGCCAAUGACACUUUGAAAUAAGGGUCAUAUUUUGUACCUGUUAGUUUUUAAUUUCCCACCAUCCUUUGUGUACGACUAUUCUCUCCAAACCAUUAUAGUUAUUCGUAAUAAUAUGAUAAGAUUUUCAUGCUAGAUACUUUUUCUUGGAGGAAAGGAACUUUAAUGAAGUUAAUUGAUAGCAGGUUAUUACUAAAUCUUUUAAGUUUACUACUUGUCAAGAAAAGCGGAGUAUUUGUUGUUGUAGGUCAAUAUAACCUUAUGGUGUAAAAAUAUAUGCUCACACAGUUAGUUCACAUAACUUAAGUUUGAAGGGGAGCUUGGUGUAACAAGUUAAGCAGUUGUCAUUUGACCAGGAGGUCACGAGUUCGAGAAACAUCCUCUAAUGCUGCGUACAAUAGACCCAUAUGGUCCAGCCCUUUUCCAGAUCCCCAUAGCGGGAGAUUAGCAUACGAGGUUGUCUUUUUACUAACUUUUUUAUAAUGUAAGCUCGAAAGAAAAUAAAGUAAACUGAAACACGGAUCUGUGCUUUUUAAAUUAGUACAAAAGCAUGCCAAGUCUCAACUAACAAAUUCUUUUCUAAUCUUACAUGGUAUUAAAUGAAAAUGAAAAAGAUAUUUUUUUAUAACUCAUUUCAUGAACUGAUGCUCCUGAAAUAAAUAAUAAGAAGAUAUCAUCAUAAAAUACACUCGGCAUAACACAUAAAUAUGACCCUAAACUUGACACCAAAUUAUAACAUUGACCUUACACUUUGAUAGUGCACAAAUAGGACCUUUAACUAUUCAAAACCUGAACAAAUAAACACCCCGAUCCUAUGUGGCAAAACGCGUGUUGCACACGCAAAACGGCCCGCGUUCGAGUUGGAAUUGAAGGGUUUUUUUGUUUAGUUUUUGUAUAGUUAAGGCCUAGUUGUGCACCGACAAAGUUAAAGGUCAUACUUAUAAUGUGUUUUUUUAUUAGGUGGCACCAUAUGAGUGGAUUAGUAAUCCACGUCAGAGCAAGUGAGGUACACGCGUGUAGUUGCAAAAUCGGAGUAUCUUUUUGUGCAGGUUUUGUAUAGUUGGCCUACUUAUGCACUAUCAAAGUUUAAGUGUACUAUCAAAGUUUAAGGUCAAUGUUAUAAUUCAUAUUUAUGUAUUAUGCCAAUACACUCGGUAUGUUGUUUACGCCGGCCUUCCCAGACCACUCGUAGGAUUACACUGGGCAUAUUGUUGUAGUACGUACACUCGGUUUGGCGAAACAAUUCGAUGUCAAAGAAAAUGUUGACGUUCUAAGUUUCUAGAACACCAUUUCUAGUUGGCAACAAAUAAUCGAAGCCAUCAACUUUCAGUAUAAAUGCUUAUAAACCAUGCACCCGUCAUAGUAAUAAAAAGGGUUAUUUUAAGUUAUAAGUUAUCAAGGUUCUUGAGAUCAACUAGUGAUCCAAAAAGAAAAUCAUUCAUCUAUUCGCAAAUAAAUUGAACAUUUUCACCAUGCAUAUGAUCAGUAGCGGAAGCAGGGAUCCUAAUAAGGGGAUUCAAAAAGGUACAAAAGUGUUACACUUACGUUUCAAUUUGAGCAUGUCACACAGCGCAUAUGGCAAUAGUUGGUAUAGAAUUUGGAAAAUGCCGUAGUAACGCACCUUAGCAAUUACCGGUAAUAAACUCUAUCAAUAUCAGUCUUGUUCUUUUACCAACCAGCUUGAGUCUGCGAUAUAGAAUAUAUAUAUAUAUAUCCUGACAAUGCUACAGAUCAUCAAACAAGUAAAACAGGGGAAGAGAUAUUAGUUAAUUUGGCUAAAUAAGUCAAAGUUGUUGUAAUUAUUUGUAAAUAUAGAACACCACAUAAUUAAAUAUAACAGAAUACGUAUACUAGUUUUUUUCUUGAAAUUAUCAAUCUUUUAAGUUUUGUAGGUGAUAUAGAGAUAUGCUUAUUGAAAACAAAAUGGCAAGAAAGUGGAAGUAAUAAAAAAUAGCACUUUCUUUCCUUUAACCAUUACAUGGCAUGUCUUUUUGUGUGCACAUUCAUAUUUUGUGCACUCCAUAGCAGGUAACAAACUACUUGCUAAAAAGAUAAAGUGGAAAUAUUCAAAGUGAUAUAGAGAUGGACUUUAAUUAACAAUAUGAGAACUCGUAGAUCCAGCUGUUAAGAGCUAUGAAUAUUCUUUCUACACUUAGAUUAUCAAUCAGAGCAAUUGAAUUGGUCAUUUAGACAGCUCUUUACUAACAACUAGUUUUCAAGGUGUGUUACUAUAAAUACAUAGGCCAAUGAAUCCUCUAAAGGCAUCACUUCUCAACUGAAAAACUAAACUUGUCUUCUUUCUUCUUUCUCUAACUAGCCCCAUUUGGAGACUAGGUGGUGUAGUUUUACUGAGAAAUGAGGCUUCGCGGUGGCGGCCCUGCCAAGGGUCGUCAAUAUUUACCUCAAAUCUUAGUGGCACUGGCCAUAUUGGCUGUUGCUAAUGUAGUGUCAGCAGACCCUUAUGUGUACUCUUCUCCACCACCUCCAACGUAUGAGUACAAGUCACCUCCACCUCCUUCUCCUUCUCCACCGCCACCUAAUGUGUACAAAUCUCCACCUCCUCCAUCACCUUCUCCCCCGCCUCCAUAUGUUUAUAAGUCACCACCUCCUCCUUCUCCAUCACCACCUGCACCAUAUGUGUAUAAGUCUCCACCACCUCCAUCGCCAUCCCCUCCACCACCAUAUGUGUAUAAGUCUCCACCACCUCCAUCGCCAUCUCCACCACCACCUUAUGUGUAUAAGUUUCCCCCACCUCCAUCACCAUCUCCACCUCCACCAUAUUACUACAAGUCUCCACCUCCACCUUCACCAUCACCUCCACCACCAUACUAUCACAAAUCUCCACCACCGCCUUCACCAUCACCACCCCCGCCAUACUAUUAUAAGUCUCCACCGCCACCUUCUCCUUCACCUCCUCCGCCAUACUACUACAAAUCACCACCACCUCCUUCGCCAUCUCCUCCUCCACCUUAUUACUACAAGUCUCCACCUCCUCCAUCUCCAUCACCACCACCACCAUAUUAUUACAAGUCUCCACCUCCACCAUCCCCAUCACCACCCCCUCCUUACUACUAUAAGUCUCCACCACCACCGCUUAAGUCACCUCCUCCCCCAUACUAUUACAGCUCUCCACCACCACCAGUGAAGUCUCCCCCUCCACCAUAUUACUACUCCUCACCACCACCACCAAAGAGAUCACCUCCCACACCAUAUCAUUAUACUUCACCACCUCCUCCAUACUAUUAUAGCUCACCACCACUACCCAAGGAAUCUCCUCCUCCACCAUAUCACUACAGUUCCCCACCACCACCAAAGAAGUUACCUCCAACUCCAUACUACUACAAGUCUCCACCACCACCACCAAAGAAGUCUUCUCCCCCACCAUACUACUAUACUUCACCACCACCACCAACUCAUUACUAUCCUCCACAUCAUCAAUUUGUUGUCAAAGUUGUCGGCAAAGUCCAUUGUUUUAGAUGUUACAACAGGAAGCACCCAGAAAUGUCUCACGGCAAAAAGCACCUUAAAGGUACCAUAGUCUUGAAUAAUUACACUAAUCUCCAAUUUGUUAUGUUCUUUUAAUUUUAUCAUCAAAAUUUUAUUAGCUAUAUAUUUACUUUUUGUUGCUUUCUUCAUUGCGCUCUUAACGAAAUUCAUAAAUGUGUCCAUUUUUAUUUGGAUAGUUGAUUCAUUUCUAUUUUCAAAUGUGAAAGUAUUGAAAUUCUAAAGCAUCAAGAAAUUUUACACAGAAACGACUUUAACUAUAAUUGUUACUAUAGAGUAAAAUAUAUUGCGAAAUGGAAGUAGUUCUUGCUUGAAAAUGAAGAACUAAUUUUAAGUGUGAUUUAUUCUCACAUUGGCUGACAAAAGUCCGUAUUAACAUGCAAUUAAUUUCCAUUACCAGAAUGUAAAAUAGUUAGUAAAGUUACAAUAAAGAAAUUUUUAUCAUGUCAUGAAAAUGUAUGUUUUACUUUUGUUUUAGGGGGGGGUAAGGCUUGGAUCGAAACCAUUUAUUAACAACUCAACUCCUUCAGUGUUAAUUAAUGGAUUUUAUUUACAUGGACUAGGUGUUGUUGUUGAAGUGACUUGCAAGGCUGGUGACAAGAAAAUUGUGAGUUAUGGUACCACUAAGCUCAAUGGAAAAUUUAGCAUCACAGUUGAAGGAUUUGAAUAUCGCAAAUAUGGAGCAAAGGCUUGCAAGGCUAAACUCCACAAUGCACCAAAGGACUCAAAGUGUAGCAUUCCUACAAACCUUCAUUGGGGAAUUAAGGGUGCUGACCUCAAAGUGAAAUCAAAGAAUAGUUAUGAAGUUGUACUUUAUGCAAAACCAUUUGCUUAUGGAUCUAAGACACCUUAUGCAGACUGCCAAAAGCCCAAGCCUACACCUGCUCCAUACUAUUAUAAAUCUCCUCCACCUCCAUCACCGACUUAUGUGUACAAGUCACCACCUCCUCCAUCACAAAAGUAUGUGUACAAGUCACCACCUCCCCCAACCCCGACAUACAUUUAUAAGUCUCCACCACCACCUGCUUACUAUUACAAAUCACCACCACCACCAACUAAGUCUCCACCACCUCAGUAUUAUUACAAGUCUCCACCUCCACCAUCACCAAAACUUGCACCAGUAUACUAUUAUAAAUCACCACCACCCCCAUCACCGUCACCACCCCCGCCUUACUACUACAAGUCUCCGCCACCACCAUCACCAUCACCAAAACCUGCACCACCAGUAUACUAUUAUAAAUCACCACCACCCCCAUCACCAUCACCACCCCCACCUUACUACUAUAAGUCCCCGCCACCACCAUCACCAAAACUUGCACCUAUUUACUAUUAUAAAUCACCACCACCCCCAUCACCGUCACCACCCCCACCUUACUAUUACAAGUCCCCACCACCACCAUCACCUUCUCCCCCACCUCCCUACUACUAUAAGUCUCCUCCACCACCAUCGCCAUCUCCUCCUCCACCAUACUAUUAUAAGUCCCCUCCUCCACCAUCUCCAUCACCACCACCACCCUAUUACUAUAAAUCUCCUCCACCACCAUCACCAUCUCCUCCACCUCCAUACUACUACAGGUCCCCUCCUCCUCUAUCUCCAUCUCCCCCUCCACCAUACUAUUACAAGUCACCACCAUCGCCAUCGCCAUCACCUCCACCACCCUACUACUACAAGUCUCCUCCUCCUCCAUCGCCUUCUCCCCCUCCACCAUACUAUUACAAAUCACCACCACCUUCAUCGCCAUCUCCUCCACCACCCUACUACUAUAAGUCCCCUCCUCCACCAUCCCCAUCACCACCUCCACCCUACUACUACAAGUCGCCUCCUCCACCGUCGCCUUCUCCACCACCUCCCUACUACUACCACUCUCCACCUCCACCAGUGAAAUCACCUCCUCCACCCGUAUAUAUUUACGCUUCCCCACCACCUCCAGUCCACUACUAAGAGUUUCCAGCAGUUCAACCAUUCUCCACACUCAAUCAAGUGAGUAGUUGUUUAAUUGUAAUUUUUUUCGUAUGAGAUCAAAUUUCUGUCAUUACUGCUCUAAUCUUCUAUUUGAUUGUUUCUUUUCAGAUUUUAUUUGAAAACACAAAAUAAAUGAUGGCUUCAUGAGGAAAAGAUCCAAACGUCAAUGGAACAAAGCAAUUACUUUACAGAAUAAGAUAUUCAAUUUUUCAAUUGGAUUGAUUCUUCAUUACAUGGAUCAGUUUGUUUCUACUUCUCUUUUGGCCUUCUUGCACAUUGUUCUCUUAGUGCGUUCAUAUGAAUGUAUUUAAGCUUUGAUGGUUCUUAGAGUUGGCUUCUUCGUAAUUUAUUGUUGUAUUGAGGAUAUUGUCCUCAUUUUAUUCAUUCCUACUAAUUAUUGUGUGUUGUUCUUGUAAUACCUUCGUGUACACUGUGCACAUGAUCAGUAAGAAGAUCAAUUUCAACGAAACAAAUUAGAUUGUUGAUAUUUGUCUAAAUACUGUUAUAAUAAUGAUACAUGUAGUAUUUUGUUGCCUUUUAAAUCCCCGCCUUACUUUGUCUAUGACUGCUAUGUCAACGAUCCUUUGAAAUAAGAGCCAAAGUUUUUAUCAGUUAGUUUUUAAUUCUCCGGCCUCCUAUGUGUAUGAUUGUUCUUUCCAAAACAUUAUAGCUAUGAAUUUUACCAUUGCUAUGAACAGAUGAAAAAUGAAAUACCAUUACUUCAUUUCUACAGGAAAAAGGGAAAGUUUUCAAGAAGAGUUGGCUCAUAUAGCUGCACACUCAACCACAUAAACUUAAAAUAGCCGGCAGGUGUAUAAUAUACGUAAUAUUCAUGUAAAAUUAGAGUAUAAUCUAUGCAUCUGCGGAAAAAAGUAGGAAGCGAAUCUGAUCAGCUAUUUGUGCAAAGAUCCCAAUUUUCUAAGCAAAAAGAUUAUUUGACAUUAUUAUGAUACCACUAUAGAAGUAAAUGCUAUGGAGGCAGACGGUGCACUAAGCCCCCCCACUAUCUGCGGGGUAUGGGGAAGAACCGGACACAAAGGUCUAUUGCAUGCAGUCUUAACUUUCAUUUUUGCAAGGGGCUGUUUACACAGUCAAACCUGUGAGCUGCUGGUCAUAUGGAAGCAACUUAACCGGCUAUGCCAAGACUCGCACCAAUGUAAAAGUAAAUGAUACAGAAAAACAGGUCAGCCCAGUGCACUAUGCUCUCAUUUUGUGUGGGGUUCGAGCAAGGACAGUACCACAAGGGUAUAUUAUCAUAGGUGGAGCCAGGAUUUCAACUAAGGAGGUUCAAUAUUUGAAGAAAACCUAAUCGAAGGAGAUUCAAUAGUAUAUACAUACAUAAAAAUAAUUUUAAUCAUGUAUAAAUAGAAUAUUUUUCCAUCGAUAUAUUAUUAUCUAGCCUUAUCCUACAUUUCUGCAAGAGACUAUUUCCACAGACCAAACCCUUGACCUCCUAGUCACAUUGCAACAACUUUACUAAUCACGCCAAGGCUCCCCUUCAAGUAAAUGCUUCAGUAAAAGGACAGCCCAGUGCACUAAGUUCCCGCUACAUGCAACAUAAUAGGGUCAGGGAAAGAACCGGGGCACAAGGGUCUACUGCAUGCAACCUUAUCCUCCAUUUCUACAAGACUAUUUUCACAGCUCGAACCCAUAACCUCCCGAUCACACUGGUAAUAACUUUACCAGUUACCUCAAAACUCUCAUUCAAGCAAAUGCUACAGUCUUUCCAUAAAAAGAACAUAGAAAGACAGCUAAAUUAACAAUUUUUAAUAGAGAACUUAGCACCUUUUACCUCUUAUUAUAUCUACAGCUGGGGUGUGUAACUGGUGCAAUCUUUGCUCCUCUUGUUUGCCUUCAUCUCUAAGACUUCCAGUUUCAUUUUAAAAAUCAAUUCUUUUUAUAAUCGUGAUGUCCGGGACAGCUACCUUUAUUACAUAUUAUUGUUCUUACGUACCAACAGCUUGCGCGCACCUCGAAUAUUUGCCAAAAAUAGGUAUUCUUUUCAACUCUUCUUUCUGAAAAUUGGCAUGAUUUGCGAAAUUGAAAUUUGCAGGUUCAGUUGAUUAAUUUGAAAACAUGAGCUUUAAAUUUCCAUUUGAAUAAAUAGGAAACUAAUUGAACAGGAAAGCGGGAAGAAGGGAGACGGUUAAAUUGGGGAAAAAUUAAAAAACAUGAUUAAGUAUGCUGAAAAAUUAAAAACAAAAAAGAAUGGCAACAUUAUAAAAAGAGAAAAUAGUGCGAUAAUUGAACCGUAAGGAAUAGUAAAUAACAACACAAAUACAAAAUAAAGGAUAAGUGCACUAUGAUUAAU
rnacentral:lncRNA from 1 species